CCCGGUUUGUCACCGGCGGUCCCCUUAGAGUUCCCAACUGAAUGCUGGCAACUAAGGGUAAAGGUUGCGCUCGUUGCGGGACUUAACCCAACAUCUCACGACACGAGCUGACGACAGCCAUGCAGCACCUGUCUCCGGUCCAGCCGAACUGAAGAACUCCAUCUCUGGAGUCCGCGACCGGGAUGUCAAGGGCUGGUAAGGUUCUGCGCGUUGCGUCGAAUUAAACCACAUGCUCCACCGCUUGUGCGGGCCCCCGUCAAUUCCUUUGAGUUUCAGCCUUGCGGCCGUACUCCCCAGGCGGGGCACUUAAUGCGUUAGCGCCGGCACUCGGAGGGUCGCUCCCCCAAGCACCUAGUGCCCAUCGUUUACGGCGUGGACUAC
rnacentral:misc_RNA from 1 species